AUGGAAACGGAUUAUGUUGUUGAGUUGUGGGUCAGCUCGUCUGGUCGUGAUAUACAAUGAUAAUAACGAAGACAAUAAUAACCUGCGGUCGUUUUAAGCUCUCUGUGUGUAAUCGCGCAGAAUCUUGGGAUCUCGGACGCCGGUGAUCCAAUAAAGAAGGUCAUGACUUUGAUUUAAAUUAUUCAUAAUUUAACGUUAGCAACAGACAGAGAUAAUGGGGUACUGAUAAAUACGAACAGAUAUCACAAAUGCAUGCAUAUCCCAAAACCAGAAUAACAGAAAAUGUGAAUAUAAUAUCAGGAGUAACAUUUUCAAAAAGAUACAUUUACAUACCCCCCUUUAAAUCCACCAAAAGAGCACCUUAAAAAACAAUAUUAUCUGAUUGGACUAAUAAUCAAUGGCAGCGGCCAGCAGAGAGAGCUACCAGUUAAUACCUUCGACAAGACAAAGGGAAAAUAAUCAAAACGCUCUCCCAGGUGUGAGGACAACAACGAAACCCCGGGACAGAGAUGGACGAAGAAACAAGAGGGCGUGAGGGCCGCAGGUGGAAAACAAACCACCACGAGAACGAUCAGAAAGCCCCUUUUCUAGACACGAGAUCACCUCAUAUGGGUCAGGACAGGCGGCUUGUGGCCCCGUAGGAACGUCUGUCUGCCUUUGAACACGGCUCCUGAGAUCCCCGAAUCGAAUCGUAGCACAUACAUACAGCGUGCGUGGACCACAUGCCCCCCACGCGACAGAGUGCACGGCCAGUCAGCUUCAGCCCUCCGCCGGUGACUCAGGGGUGGUUGUGAGUGUACCACUCAGAAAACAGCAAAGGCUCGACCCCGUGUAAACAUGGAAGCAGAGGCCGAGGCCGAGGGUGAGGCUUGAGGGUGAGGAUUGAGGGUGAGGAUCGGUGGGCUGUGAUGUAGCGGCACGCCGUCACAACAGCAUCCAUCGCUGUCAGCGGCAGAACGCGUGUGCUCUCACUGCAAAAUCAGGCAGCACAUGGCCAGCGUGAGUGAGUCACAUUGGUCUGGUAACGAGAGCCUCCGCUCAGGGAGAGUCCCUCCAUGCGUCCUUGGGACUGGGGCCAACCCCCUUUGAGGGUAUCAGGUGCACCGUUCCUCUGGGCAAUGGGAGACUCGUCGGCCCCCGACCACCGAAAGUAGCCGUUUCGCUGCCGUCGCUGUUGUUUUGGCUCAUUUUCAUACACGACACUAGUUCUUCUAAAAACAGAAUUACUGUCUAUGAGACGUUGGGACUCAAGGGGACGCGGCAACUUGGAUGUCUCGCUGACAUGGGCUCGGGGACAGUGCGCAGAGAGGGUCGACCUGCCCGGAAGCAGCCAGAUGUGUGCCCCCCCCCUCCCACCCCGCUACACGCAGUACACAAUGUGACUACAGUAUGAUGAGACAGGCUGCCUGUAAGGACUUGAACUGUGCCUACUUUUCAAAACAAUCUAAAAAACGUCCAAGUGGAUUCCUGCACAGAUAAUUGCACAACCCAUUUGAUGCCUAUAAACACAGUAUAUUAGCUAUUUUCUAGUUAGUGUGAGGCUGCACAGCAAUGUUUUAAGCUAAAGGCUAACAUCAGCCUGCUAACGUCCUCGAAAUGACAAUAAAAACACGUGCAACCUGUCUUGGUUUGGUUAAUUAGCAUACAAACCUUUGCCGAUCAACCCCCUAAUACAUUGUGCAGCUGAGGCUGAUGGGAAUGUUCCCUUGUCUUAAGGUCAAUGGGUUUCUUUAGUCAGCUCUUGGAUGAAUGCCUGUGGUUAACACAAGAUAUUUUAGAGGUUUGUUUCAUGAUAUAAACAAAUCUAUAAAUGUCCCUCUCUUAAAUUCUGAAGCUUUCACAUGUUUGAAAAAGAGAGAGACCACAAAACGCCAUCACGCCGACCAGCUCGCUCUUCACGCCCGUUUUGUGUGGGAUUGUGCUCACAGGUGCAUCGCGUGUUGACGUGACGUCAGCUUUUUAAUCCUGCCGACGGGAAUCACGCUUAAAAAAAUCAAACGAGUCGUGAUUAGUUGUGAGUCUGUUUUCCUGCAACAAUCCGUAAUCCAACGGAGGAAUCCCGUUGACCUUUUGUUGAGAGAACCGUGUCAAUGGCAUCCAACCAUUCAUAGUGAAUCGGGUUGCAGUAGUUACACCAGUAUAAACACUUUAACGCGGGCUAAUUCACGUCUGUUUAUUUGAUUGGCAUACCGGGAGCAGCUCAUCGCUGUCAUACCUUCGCAAGUACUGUGUAAUAUCUGCA
ensembl:lncRNA